rnacentral:sRNA from 1 species
AAUUGAAAUAGAAAAGAAAAAAGGGAGGUUUGUGAUGGUUUUUCAAUCUUUUAUACUAGGUAAUCUAGUAUCCUUAUACAUGAAGAUAAUAAAUUCGGUCAUUGUGGUCGGACUUUAUUAUGAAUUUCUGACCAUAUUUUCUAUAGGACCCUCUUAUCUCUUUCUUCUCCGAGUUUGGACGAAGGAAAACAAAGACCGGGAAGAAAGUAUCGCAACAACAUGUUUUAUUGCGGGACAGCUUAUGAUGUUCAUAUCAAUCUAUUAUGCGCUUCUGCUUUUAGUAUUGGGUAAACCUCAUACAAUAACUCUUCUAGCUCUACCGUAUCUUUUAUUUCAUUUCUUUUGAAACAAUCACAAACACUUUUUUGAUUAUAGAUCUACUACCAGAAAUGAAAUGCGUAAUCUUUGCAUUCAAUGUGUAUUCCUGAAUAAUCUCAUUUUUCAAUUAUUCAACCAUUUCAUUUUACCAAUUUCAAUGUUAGCCAGAUUAGUCAAUAUUUAUAUGUUUCGAUGUAACAAUAA